rnacentral:rRNA from 1 species
GGAAUCUUCCACAAUGGGCGCAAGCCUGAUGGAGCAACACCGCGUGAGUGAAGAAGGGUUUCGGCUCGUAAAGCUCUGUUGUUAGAGAAGAACGUGCGUGAGAGCAACUGUUCACGCAGUGACGGUAUCUAACCAGAAAGUCACGGCUAACUACGUGCCAGCAGCCGCGGUAAUACGUAGGUGGCAAGCGUUGUCCGGAAUUAUUGGGCGUAAAGGGAGCGCAGGCGGGACGGUAAGUCCAAAUUAAAAGUGCAGGAGUAAUGCCUGUGAUGGUUUGGAAACUAUCGUUCUUGAGAGCAGGAGAGGCAAGCGGAAUUCCCAGUGUAGCGGUGAAAUGCGUAGAUAUUGGGAGGAACACCAGUGGCGAAGGCGGCUUGCUGGACUGUGUCUGACGCUGAGGCUCGAAAGCCAGGGUAGCGAACG